rnacentral:rRNA from 1 species
CAAUAGCGUAUAUUUAAGUUGUUGCAGUUAAAAAGCUCGUAGUUGGAUUUCGGUUAAGAGCGACCGGUCCGCCGUUUGGUGUGCACUGGUUGGUUUUAACUUCCUGUAGAGGACGUGCUCUGGGUUUAACGACCUGGACUCGGAAUCUACGUGGUUACUUUGAAAAAAUUAGAGUGUUCAAAGCGGGCUUACGCUUGAAUAUUUCAGCAUGGAAUAACACUAUAGGACUCCUGUCCUAUUUCGUUGGUCUCGGGACGGGAGUAAUGAUUAAGAGGAACAGUUGGGGGCAUUCGUAUUUCAUUGUCAGAGGUGAAAUUCUUGGAUUUAUGAAAGACGAACUUCUGCGAAAGCAUUUGCCAAGGAUGUUUUCAUUAA